GACGAACCGUCCAAACGUUAUUCGGAAUUACUGGGCUUAAAGGGUGCGUAGGCGGCGCGGUAAGUUGGGUGUGAAAUCCCUCGGCUCAACCGAGGAACUGCGCCCAAUACUACCGUGCUUGAGGGAGAUAGAGGUGAGCGGAACUUAGGGUGGAGCGGUGAAAUGCGUUGAUAUCCUAAGGAACACCGGUGGCGAAAGCGGCUCACUGGAUCUCUUCUGACGCUGAGGCACGAAAGCUAGGGUAGCGAACGGG
rnacentral:rRNA from 1 species